rnacentral:rRNA from 1 species
CCUACGGGAGGCAGCAGUGGGGAAUAUUGCACAAUGGGGGGAACCCUGAUGCAGCAAUGCCGCGUGGGUGAAGAAGCACUCCGGUGCGUAAAGCCCUGUCAGCAGGGAAGAAAAUGACAGUACCUGGACAAGAAGCCCCGGCUAACUACGUGCCAGCAGCCGCGGUAAUACGUAGGGGGCAAGCGUUAUCCGGAUUUACUGGGUGUAAAGGGAGCGCAGGCGGCGUGGCAAGUCAGAUGUGAAAGGCGGGGGCCCAACCUCCGGACUGCUUUGGAAACUGUAUGGCUGGAGUGCAGGAGAGGUAAGUGGAAUUCCUAGUGUAGCGGUGAAAUGCGUAGAUAUUAGGAGGAACACCAGUGGCGAAGGCGGCUUACUGGACUGUAACUGACGUUGAGGCUCGAAAGCGUGGGGAGCAAACAGGAUUAGAUACCCGGGUAGUC